AUGCUCCAGAGGGAUUCUGGAGGACACGGGGUAGCUGACAAAUGUUUCAAAGUAGAUGCUUCACUUUCAGGAAACAUAUGCUUUGUAACCCCCGCUACACAGACCAGUCUGGAUCUGCUUAGAUCUCAGAAUGGAAGGCUUUCUAAAGGAAAACUCCAGAAAUACCUGAAUUCAGAUGUAAAAAACUGUGCGAGAAUCAAGAACAAAGCCAGGGAAAGCAGAGGGAAGCAUCAUGAGUAUAACCCAAGACUCCGGGAAACAUCGGAUUCAUUUGACCAGCCAUCUUUGAUCUCAAAGCUGGCGAGGCAUGGAAGGACUGUUUGGAACACCUAGGCCAUGAAAACAUGCCUUUCUUUGUCUUCCACCCAAGGAGGAGGCAGCAUGGUGUGGCAAGGCAUUGCCAAGGUCUGCGGUUGGACUACCUAGUUCAAAUCCCAGCUCCACCACCUGCUUGCCAGGCUGACUUUGAGCAAGUUCCAGUGCCUCAAUUUCUGCACUUGCCAAACACAAAAGAUUAUUACACUGAAGUAUGUGAAGUUGCCGGCAUUUGACUGUUUUUGAAUACAAUGAGAUUAGACCCAAUCAUCUAAAGCUGCUGAUAUGUGACUGUUUUUGACAUAUAAAAAUGGCAAUUUCACGCGGCUGAUCCAAAAACCUGCUUCAACAGGUGACUUUGUAGUGAAAGCAAGAAACUGUAUUAAGUGUUGUACCAAAGAGCUGGUGUGUGGUAUGCCCUCAAUAUAGGUCAGUUGUUGCGGUCUCUGUAAAGAGGCUCAUAUCAACCACUGGCUCUAUGCAGAUCACUAUCCCAGGUGCCCAAAGUAUGGGGCUCCUAGGUAGCUCAGCCAGUCAAGCCUCCAACUCCUGAUCUCAGGGUUAUGAGUUCAAGCCCCAGGUAAGCAACCAAACAUAAAAGGCCCAAACCAAAGAGCUGCUGGCUUGCCAAGGACCACUUGCCCGUGUGAAAGAGUACUAACAGCACAGUGGGUACGAGAAGAUGUGUGCUCAGGCCAAACCCUACGUUCUCAUGCCUCUAUGUUCUCAGGUCUAAUUUCCUCUUGAAAAAGCAUUCCCAUGUGGAAUCCCUUCUCUUUCUGGGGGCCAUCUUACUCACUCAUAGCAGCUUUCAUAAGCUAGUCAGUAUGACUAGGACUUAUGCCUACACCUACUUGACAGAAAUUCUGGAAAUAUGCUUGAAAAUACACAUCAGCUGUAAAGAUUAAAAGUAAUGGGGAGAAGGGGGAGCAGGUCCUUUCUUUGCCCAGAAGUAUAGUCUCUGGGGGCCAGACAAUUCUGAGAUUGGGACUAGAGGCGGUUAUGGUGUUUGCCAAGGAAGGUUCAAGCCUAAAAAUGCAGUCUCCUGGGCAGAAGGAAAGCUUCCUCAAGAUUAUUCCAGGAGGAUUCCCUCAGAUUUCAGUAUGAUUCUUUGGGCCAGCACAAAGUUCUCUAGUGGAUGCCAUGUCACCUGGCCCUCCCCCUUGAAGGCCUUCCCUAAGACUGCACAUUUUUCUUUGUACCCUUGGGUAUCAGCGUUCUCCCCGAGGUAAAAUACAGAGCCUAAUUCCUGCUCCUGGCAACCUCCUCUCUAAAAGCCAACAGCAAUUCUUGAAAUGCUGGACCUUAAAUAUAAUCUCCCCCUUCACUAUAUACACAUACCCUCUUACACUUUAAUGCAAUCAUUUCCCCUCCACGUUGACCUAAUCAUAAUUAUCUUGAAAGCUAUUUUAAGUUAAAUAUUUCUGCCUCCAAAAAUAAAGGAUAAUAUAAGAAUAUAUGUAAGGAAGAC
rnacentral:lncRNA from 1 species